AUUUUCAACCUAACCAUAACAUGAGUGUGUACAGUACGGAUGAACUGGUGCCACCUUCGUGGAUGAAUGAAGCAUUCUUCCAGAACUCUCUCAGGAGUUUUGAAAAUAGCAACGAUAUCAAGGUGGUAACUGUGGAUAUAAGCCCGGCGAGCAUGAAAGGGGAUCAUUAUUCCAGCAUUAUGUUUCGAGUCAAAGUCCAAUAUAAAACGGACGCCAAAGAGACUCGUGUCAUUACGAAGUCACUGAUAGUGAAAACACUCCCAGAUGAGGGUGAUAAAUAUGAUGUGUUAUCACAAUCAUUAUUAUUUGAAACCGAAAUUAGCAUGUAUACUCAGACUUUGCCGAAAAUUAGUAAAAUUUUAGCGGACCAUGGAAAUCCCAUUACUCUUGCACCAAAAAUAUUAUUUAGUUCGUUGGAGCCGCGGAAGGUGAUUAUCUUGGAGGAUCUGAAGGAACAAGGUUACGAAAUGAUGCGCAAUCGCCAUCCAACGGAAAGUGAGAUGAAGGCAAUUUAUCGAAAGUUGGCUAAACUGCAUGCCGCGAGUUAUGUUUUGGGGCAAAGUGAAGAUUCUGAAUACAUAACCCAGCAUCAGAAUGGAAUGUGUGGUUCGGAAUUGGUUUUGGAGCACGGUAUUUUUAAAAACGGGAUUGGACAAUUUAUAGAAUUUUUGGAAACGCAGCAAGAGUUUCAGGAAUAUGCACGAAAGUUUCAAGCAAUGAAAUAUGAUAUUUUAAAAAAGUCACAUGAACUGUUUUCCGUCUAUAAAAAUGGAAAACAAAAUGAAAUCCUUGUUUUGAAUCAUGGAGAUUUUCAUUUGAGAAACUUAAUGUUCAAGUUUGAUGAAAACUCUCAGAUGCAAGAUUUUAUUUUGUUCGACUUUCAACUUUGUGUUUAUGCACCGCCCGUUAUUGAUUUAAUGUACUCAGAAUACAUAAUGUGCAGUUCGGAAUCGCGAGACAAAUAUGAUAAUUUUUUGAGAGCAUAUUUUGAGCAAUUUAAUGAGACCCUGCGGAAAAUUAACUAUAAAGACAAACAACUAACAUAUUAUGGCCUAAAAAUGUCUUCUUUGCAAUACAGACACUUUCUGAUUUUAAUCAUUUCGUUUUUCGUACCCCUAUUAUAUGCAAAUGAAACGACGAGUUGCUACCAAAAUCCGCUUUUCAACGCUGAGCUGCGAAAACUUUUGCCGAAACUUCUACUUAAUGGCUACAUGGACUAAAUAUUAUAUGGACGAUAUGCAUAUAAGCAAUUGCAUGUACACAAGAAUGAUUAUUUUUACGAAGCUCCCUAUCGUCAAGCACAACAUUGUGCCCAUCCCACAUGGUAACGAAGUCCCAUACCUUAGUAUUCACUUGGAUAUACGAUUAACUAAGAGACGACUCAUUUCCGCCAAAAAUAUGCCGCUGAAGUUUCAAUUAUCUAGUUUAUAUUGGCUUUUAAGAAAAAAAUCUGGGCUUGACCUUGAAAACAAAGUGUUUUUUUUUUAUAAUGCGACUAUAAAACCGAUAUGGAAACCAAUUAUAGCGUAUAGCUUACGCGAUAAAUCUAGAUAUAAUACAAAGAUUUUAGCCGAAAGCAUUGAGAAUAAUAACACGGUGCGCCUGUACAAGCGUAAUGAAAAUAUACAUAGAGACUGCAAACUCAUCUGAACUCUUUGGCUGCUACUUUGGCCUCCGCAACAAGUCAAACAUGCCCGAAGAGAAGGAACUUACCACCCUUGUAAAGAGCAACACUGAGGAGCAGUUCAUUCAUAGCCAAUGGGCUGUUAUAU